GAUGAACGCUGGCGGCGUGCCUAAUACAUGCAAGUCGAGCGAACGGACGAGAAGCUUGCUUCUCUGAUGUUAGCGGCGGACGGGUGAGUAACACGUGGAUAACCUACCUAUAAGACUGGGAUAACUUCGGGAAACCGGAGCUAAUACCGGAUAAUAUUUUGAACCGCAUGGUUCAAAAGUGAAAGACGGUCUUGCUGUCACUUAUAGAUGGAUCCGCGCUGCAUUAGCUAGUUGGUAAGGUAACGGCUUACCAAGGCAACGAUGCAUAGCCGACCUGAGGGGGUGAGCGGCCACGCUGGAAGUGAGACACGGGCCAGACUCCCACGGGGGGCAGGAGUAGGGAAUUUGCCGCAAUGGGCGAAAGCCGGACGGAGCAACGCCGGGUGGGUGAUGAAGGCCUUGGGAUCGUAAAACUUUGUUAUUGGGGAAGAACAUAUGUGUAAGUAACUGUGCAAAUUGUGCCGGUACCUAAUCAGAAAGCCCCGGUUAACUACGU
rnacentral:rRNA from 1 species